UACGUAGGGUGCGAGCGUUAAUCGGAAUUACUGGGCGUAAAGCGUGCGCAGGCGGUUUUGUAAGCCAGGUGUGAAAUCCCCGGGCUCAACCUGGGAAUGGCAUUUGGGACUGCAAGGCUGGAGUGUGGCAGAGGAGACUGGAAUUCCUGGUGUAGCAGUGAAAUGCGCAGAUAUCAGGAGGAACACCGGUGGCGAAGGCGGGUCUCUGGGCCGUAACUGACGCUGAGGAGCGAAAGCGUGGGGAGCGAACAGG
rnacentral:rRNA from 1 species